rnacentral:SRP_RNA from 1 species
UCGUGCUGGAUGGGGAGGUAGCGGUGCCCUGUAACCUGCAACCCGCUCUAGCAGGAUUAAAGACAUGGUGAGAUAUUUUCUGCGUUGAUUCAGUAGAAUAAGUGGUGUUGAAAUUUCAAUCCAUUGCAAUGGUGCUACUGUGAACCCCGUCAGGCCCGGAAGGGAGCAGCGGUAAUCAGUUGGCAUCAUGUGCCAGUGGAACAUGGAAUGGAGCUAACUGUCCUGUCUGGAUUGACUGCAAGAGAUAACGAAUCAUGGCGCACGG